ACCUGUACAAAAUUGUAAUGAAAAAUCACAACGUUGACUUUUCCAGGUUAAUAUUACCCUACACUCUGUUUUCCGGUUCAUCUUUAAGCAAGGCCAUCUUUAGUCAACCUCAUCAUGACUUCUGGCAACAGUAGUAGGCCUUCUCCCCAUAUAAUUAAGGACAGCAACUGAGCUGGUCCAUGUGGAUUUCCUUGAAGUCGUUGGCAAAGGCAGACCUCUUUCUUCAUGUUCCAUCAAGAAAUCUUGUUGACAGAGUAAGCUUACAAGCCAAUAAGGAAUAA
rnacentral:lncRNA from 1 species